AACGAACGCUGGCGGCAUGCCUAACACAUGCAAGUCGAACGAGACGUUCGGGUCUAGUGGCGCCCGGGUGCGUAACGCGUGGGAAUCUGCCCUUGGGAUCGGGAUAACAGUUGGAAAUGACUGCUAAUACCGGAUGAUGACUUCGGUCCAAAGAUUUAUCGCCCAGGGAUGAGCCCGCGUCGGAUUAGUUAGUUGGGGAGGUAAGAGCUCACCAAGGCGACGAUCCGUAGCUGGUUUGAGAGGAUGAUCAGCCACACUGGGACUGAGACACGGCCCAGACUCCUACGGGAGGCAGCAGUGGGGAAUACUGGGCAAUAGGCGAAAGCCUGAUCCAGCAAUGCCGCGUGAGUGAUGAAGGCCUUAGGGUUGUAAAGCUCUUUUACCCGGGAUGAUAAUGACAGUACCGGGAGAAUAAGCCCCGGCUAACUACGUG
rnacentral:rRNA from 1 species